GACGUGGCGUAGUGGUUAGAGCGUCUUCCUCGGAUGCGGGAGGUCGCGGGUUCAAAGCCCGGUCAAGGAAUA